GCUUAACACAUGCAAGUCGAGGGGCAGCAUGGUCUUAGCUUGCUAAGACUGAUGGCGACCGGCGCACGGGUGAGUAACACGUAUCCAACCUGCCGUCUACUCUUGGACAGCCUUCUGAAAGGAAGAUUAAUACAAGAUGGCAUCAUGAGUCCACAUGUUCACAUGAUUAAAGGUAUUCCGGUAGACGAUGGGGAUGCGUUCCAUUAGAUAGUAGGCGGGGUAACGGCCCACCUAGUCUUCGAUGGAUAGGGGUUCUGAGAGGAAGGUCCCCCACAUUGGAACUGAGACACGGUCCAAACUCCUACGGGAGGCAGCAGUGAGGAAUAUUGGUCAAUGGGCGAGAGCCUGAACCAGCCAAGUAGCGUGAAGGAUGACUGCCCUAUGGGUUGUAAACUUCUUUUAUAAAGGAAUAAAGUCGGGUAUGCAUACCCGUUUGCAUGUACUUUAUGAAUAAGGAUCGGCUAACUCCGUGCCAGCAGCCGCGGUAAUACGGAGGAUCCGAGCGUUAUCCGGAUUUAUUGGGUUUAAAGGGAGCGUAGAUGGAUGUUUAAGUCAGUUGUGAAAGUUUGCGGCUCAACCGUAAAAUUGCAGUUGAUACUGGAUAUCUUGAGUGCAGUUGAGGCAGGCGGAGUUCGUGGUGUAGCGGUGAAAUGCUUAGAUAUCACGAAGAACUCCGAUUGCGAAGGCAGCCUGCUAGGCUGCAACUGACAUUGAGGCUCGAAAGUGUGGGUAUCAAACAGGAUUAGAUACCCUGGUAGUCCACACGGUAAACGAUGAAUACUCGCUGUUUGCGAUAUACAGCAAGCGGCCAAGCGAAAGCGUUAAGUAUUCCACCUGGGGAGUACGCCGGCAACGGUGAAACUCAAAGGAAUUGACGGGGGCCCGCACAAGCGGAGGAACAUGUGGUUUAAUUCGAUGAUACGCGAGGAACCUUACCCGGGCUUAAAUUGCAGAUGAAUUACGGUGAAAGCCGUAAGCCGCAAGGCAUCUGUGAAGGUGCUGCAUGGUUGUCGUCAGCUCGUGCCGUGAGGUGUCGGCUUAAGUGCCAUAACGAGCGCAACCCUUGUUGUCAGUUACUAACAGGUCCUGCUGAGGACUCUGACAAGACUGCCAUCGUAAGAUGUGAGGAAGGUGGGGAUGACGUCAAAUCAGCACGGCCCUUACGUCCGGGGCUACACACGUGUUACAAUGGGGGGUACAGAGGGCCGCUACCACGCGAGUGGAUGCCAAUCCCCAAAACCUCUCUCAGUUCGGACUGGAGUCUGCAACCCGACUCCACGAAGCUGGAUUCGCUAGUAAUCGCGCAUCAGCCACGGCGCGGUGAAUACGUUCCCGGGCCUUGUACACACCGCCCGUCAAGCCAUGGGAGCCGGGGGUACCUGAAGUGCGUAACCGCGAGGAGCGCCCUAGGGUAAAACUGGUGACUGGGGCUAAG
rnacentral:rRNA from 1 species